rnacentral:rRNA from 1 species
GUUAUAGGAUCAAGUGACUAAGUGUAUGUGGUGGAUGCCUUGGCGAUUACAGGCGAUGAAGGACGUGGCAGUCUGCGAAAAGCCGUGGGGAGCUGACAACGAGCAUUGAACCAUGGAUAUCCGAAUGAGGGAACUCACCUGCAAAGGUAUCCUUAAGUGAAUACAUAGCUUAAGGAGGCGAACGUAGUGAACUGAAACAUCUAAGUAGCUACAGGAAAAGAAAUCAACCGAGAUUGCGCUAGUAGCGGCGAGCGAAUGCGCAACAGCCUAAUGCUUGAUAACAAAACACACAGUAGAACGAUCUGGAAAGUUCGGCUAUAGAGGGUGAUAGCCCCGUAUAUGAAAUGAGUUUUGUGGUACUAAGAGCAUGAGAAGUAGGGCGGGACACGUGACAUCCUGCUCGAAGAUGGGGGGACCAUCCUCCAAGGCUAAAUACUCGUAAUCGACCGAUAGUGAACCAGUACCGUGAGGGAAAGGCGAAAAGAACCCCGGGAGGGGAGUGAAAUAGAAUCUGAAACCGCAUACAUACAAACAGUAGGAGCC